GAUGAAGAACGUAGCGAAAUGCGAUAAGUAAUGUGAAUUGCAGAAUUCAGUGAAUCAUCGAAUCUUUGAACGCACCUUGCGCCCCCUGGUAUUCCGGGGGGCAUGCCUGUUCGAGCGUCAUUACAACCCUCAAGCUCUGCUUGGUAUUGGGCCCCGCCAGUUCUGGCGGGCCCUAAAGUCAGUGGCGGUGCCUUCCGGCUCCGAGCGUAGUAAUUCUUCUCGCUCUGGAGACCCGGUUGUGUGCUUGCCAACAACCCCCAAUUUUUUAAGGUUGACCUCGGAUCAGGUAGGGAUACCCGCUGAACUUAAGCAUAUCAAUAAGCGGAGGA
rnacentral:misc_RNA from 1 species